GUUACCGGAAUGCCGUCGAGAAAUGUCAACAUCGACUUUUCGGCUGUAUGAACGAGUUACGAGCGAGAAAAACGAGUAUGAAAUAUAUUUUAAAACGACAGGAAUUCUUUGAGACUGCUUAGUUCUUUUUAGGGAGACCGCUAGAAAUCACAGUUGCUAUAACUGGUCUCACUGCAUUCAUCCUCAUUAAGGAAUCUCGAGAAGCAAAGAAAUUACUAGAACUCUCUCGCGACCAAUUGAAAACUUAAAACCGGACAGAAACAUCUCAGCUCAGUUGUUUAGUGAGCUGUUGUUGUUGAUUGUAGCGAAUUCGCGCUGAGGGGAUAGAAUUAUGCGGUAUUCUUCACUGCUGUCUACCCGUACGUGUUACGAUUGGCACGAUAUUAUACACUGAAGAUCCUCGCAGAUUUGCCUUAAGAGGAAGCCGACGUUACGCACUCCACGUCACAAGCGUCGAAAGUUGCGUCAUGAAAUGGUGCUUGCCUCGGCGACUGAUUGGCUCGCCAAGCCCCGCCAAGAAUUCGUCACUUAUUCCUCUGGAUGGGACACGGAUUUCCUUGUACACCGU